CCUACGGGAGGCUGCAGUGGGGAAUCUUCCGCAAUGGGCGCAAGCCUGACGGAGCAACGCCGCGUGAGUGAAGAAGGUCUUCGGAUCGUAAAGCUCUGUUGACGGGGACGAACGUACGGAGUGCGAAUAGUGCUCUGUAAUGACGGUACCUGUCGAGGAAGCCACGGCUAACUACGUGCCAGCAGCCGCGGUAAUACGUAGGUGGCGAGCGUUGUCCGGAAUCAUUGGGCGUAAAGGGAGCGCAGGCGGGCAUGUAAGUCUUUCUUAAAAGUUCGGGGCUCAACCCCGUGAUGGGAAAGAAACUACAUGUCUUGAGUACAGGAGAGGAAAGCGGAAUUCCCAGUGUAGCGGUGAAAUGCGUAGAUAUUGGGAGGAACACCAGUGGCGAAGGCGGCUUUCUGGACUGCAACUGACGCUGAGGCUCGAAAGCCAGGGGAGCGAACGGGAUUAGAUACCCCAGUAGUC
rnacentral:rRNA from 1 species